rnacentral:rRNA from 1 species
GGAGCCGUAGCGAAAGCGAGUUUUAACUGAGCGUUCAGUUACUUGACGUAGACCCGAAACCGGGCGACCUACCCAUGAGCAGGAUGAAGCGAAAGUAAAAUUUCGUGGAGGUCCGAACCCACGAGCGUUGAAAAGCUCGGGGAUGACUUGUGGGUAGCGGUGAAAUUCCAAUCGAGCCCGGAGAUAGCUGGUUCUCCCCGAAAUAGCUUUAGGGCUAGCCUCAAGGUGAGAGAUACGGAGGUAGAGCACUGAAUGUCCUAGGGGGUAUUGCACCUACCGAAGACUAUCAAACUCCGAAUGCCGUCAUCUUAUACUUGGGAGUCAGACUGUGGGUGAUAAGAUUCAUAGUCGAAAGGGCAACAGCCCAGAUCGUCAGCUAAGGUCCCUAAAUGUAAGUUAAGUGGUAAAGGAUGUGGGAUUGCACAGACAACCAGGAUGUUGGCUUAGAAGCAGCCACUCAUUCAAAGAGUGCGUAAUAGCUCACUGGUCGAGUGAUCCUGCGCCGAAGAUUUCCGGGGCUAAAACUUACUACCGAAGCUACGGCAUCAGUAAUGAUGGGUAGGGGAGCUUCCCAUACGGGUUGAAGCAUGACCGUAAGGACAUGUGGACAGUAUGGGAGUGAGAAUGUUGGCAUGAGUAGCGAGAUGUGGGUGAGAAUCCCACAGGCCGUAAACCCAAGGUUUCCAGGGGAAGGUUCGUCCGCCCUGGGUUAGUCGGGACCUAAGCUGAGGCCGAAAGGCGUAGGUGAUGGACAACAGGUUGAUAUUCCUGUACUACCGAUAACCGUUUGAGAGAAGGGAUGACACAGUAGGAUAAGCUAAGCACACUGUUGGUUAUGUGUGCCCAAGCAUUGAGGCAGUCAAAGUAGGCAAAUCCGCUUUGAUAAUGCUGGGAUGUGAUGGGGAGCGAAAUUUAGUAGCGAAGUAGCUGAUUUCACACUGUCAAGAAAAGUCUCUAUCGAGGUUAAAGGUACCCGUACCGCAAACCGACACAGGUGGGUGAGGAGAGUAUCCUAAGGCCAGCGAGAGAACUGUUGUUAAGGAACUCGGCAAAAUGACCCCGUAACUUAGGGAUAAGGGGUGCCACCAUCAGGUGGCCGCAGAGAAUAGGCCCAAGCGACUGUUUACCAAAAACAUAGGUUUCUGCUAAGUCGCAAGACGAUGUAUAGGAGCUGACGCCUGCCCGGUGCUGGAAGGUUAAGGGGAUCUGUUAGAGCAAUCGAAGCAGUGAACUUAAGCCCCAGUAAACGGCGGCCGUAACUAUAACGGUCCUAAGGUAGCGAAAUUCCUUGUCGGGUAAGUUCCGACCCGCACGAAAGGCGUAACGAUUUGGGCACUGUCUCAACAACAGACUCGGUGAAAUUGUAAUUCCGGUGAAGAUGCCGGAUACCUGCGACAGGACGGAAAGACCCCAUGGAGCUUUACUGUAGCUUGACAUUGGGUCUUGGUACUACAUGUACAGGAUAGGUGGGAGGCUUUGAAACCAGGACGCCAGUUUUGGCGGAGCCAUCCUUGGGAUACCACCCUUGUAGUACUGGGACUCUAACCAUAGGCCAUGAAUCUGG